GAGUUUGAUCCUGGCUCAGGACGAACGCUGGCGGCGUGCCUAACACAUGCAAGUCGAACGGAACUUCUUUAAAGGAUUUCUUCGGAAUGAUUUUGAUUAAGUUUAGUGGCGGACGGGUGAGUAACGCGUGAGUAACCUGCCUCUAAGAGGGGGAUAGCAGCUGGAAACGGCUGGUAAUACCGCAUAAGCGCACAAUGUUGCAUGACAUGGUGUGAAAAACUCCGGUGGUAUAAGAUGGACCCGCGUCUGAUUAGCUAGUUGGUGAGAUAACAGCCCACCAAGGCGACGAUCAGUAGCCGACCUGAGAGGGUGACCGGCCACAUUGGGACUGAGACACGGCCCAGACUCCUACGGGAGGCAGCAGUGGGGAAUAUUGCACAAUGGAGGAAACUCUGAUGCAGCGACGCCGCGUGAGUGAAGAAGUAAUUCGGUAUGUAAAGCUCUAUCAGCAGGGAAGAUAAUGACGGUACCUGACUAAGAAGCUCCGGCUAAAUACGUGCCAGCCGCCGCGGUAAUAC
rnacentral:rRNA from 1 species